rnacentral:rRNA from 1 species
ACGGCUGAGUAACGCGUAGGAACAUGCCCCAAAGUGAGGGAUAACCUCGAGAAAUCGAGGCUAAUACCGCAUAUGGUCUUCGGAUUAAAGGAUUUAUCCGCUUUGGGAGUGGCCUGCGUACGAUUAGUUUGUUGGUGAGGUAAUGGCUUACCAAGACUACGAUCGUUAACUGGUCUGAGAGGAUGAUCAGUCAGACUGGAACUGAGACACGGUCCAGACUCCUACGGGAGGCAGCAGUAAGGAAUCUUCCACAAUGGGCGAAAGCCUGAUGGAGCAACGCCGCGUGCAGGAUGAAGGCCCUCGGGUCGUAAACUGCUUUUAUGAGUGAAGAAUAUGACGGUAACUCAUGAAUAAGCACCGGCUAACUACGUGCCAGCAGCCGCGGUCAUACGUAGGGUGCAAGCAUUAUCCGGAGUGACUGGGCGUAAAGAGUUGCGUAGGUGGUUAGUAAAGUGAAUAGUGAGAUCUGGGGGCUCAACCUCACAGACUAUUAUUCAAACUCACUAACUCGAGAGUGGUAGAGGUAACUGGAAUUUCUUGUGUAGGAGUGAAAUCCGUAGA